rnacentral:rRNA from 1 species
AUGAACGCUGGCGGCGUGCCUAAUACCUGCAAGUCGAGCGAACAGACGAGGAGCUUGCUCCUCUGACGUUAGCGGCGGACGGGUUAGUAACACGUGGAUAACCUACCUAUAAGACUGGGAUAACUUCGGGAAACCGGAGCUAAUACCGGAUAAUAUAUUGAACCGCAUGGUUCAAUAGUGAAAGACGGUUUUGCUGUCACUUAUAGAUGGAUCCGCGCCGCAUUAGCUAGUUGGUAAGGUAACGGCUUACCAAGGCAACGAUGCGUAGCCGACCUGAGAGGGUGAUCGGCAACACUGGAACUGAGACACGGUCCAGACUCCUACGGGAGGCAGCAGUAGGGAAUCUUCCGCAAUGGGCGAAAGCCUGACGGAGCAACGCCGCGUGAGGGAUGAAGGUUUUGGGAUCGUAAAACUCUGUUAUUAGGAAAGAAAAAAGGUGUAAGUAACUAUGAACGUCUGGACGGUACCUAAUCAGAAAGCAACGGCUAACUACGU